rnacentral:lncRNA from 1 species
GUGCGCCGCUACGCUCUCAUAACUGGGCGUCGGAGUCUGCCGUGAAGAGGGUUCUCACCCGCGUCAGGGUAGACGCCUUAUCCCUUCACACAGGGGGUCACGACUUACUCGUGUGUCUGGCCCCAGAGCAGCGGGUCCUUGUCUCCUCAAUGGAAGGCCUGAGCAGCCUUUCCUGGAGGAUGUGGCGGGAGGAGGGCUGAGGUGGCUGCGGACACGCCACCGCGGCUGGCCCCGCCCCGAGCCGCAGGGCACCGCCCGGGUGUCCAGUUCUUCCUCACUCGCUCGCGCAGAAAUCCGAACGAGAAAACCCAAAAUAGGAGCGCUUGAGUUCAAUGAAUAAUGACAGUGACUCCCCACCGUGACCGUUUUUCCACCGGGACACACAGAUGGAGACAGGCCCUUCCCCAAGAUGCUCCCGGCUCCCUGGGAGGCGGAGUCCAGCCCUAGAGGCUCUAUCAGCGCAGGGAGUCUCCUGGGGGUCAAGGUUCUUAGCCCGUUCAAGCCAUUUUCUCCUUUCUUUAAAAGACAAAGUCUCACUCUGUUACCCAGGCUGAAGUGCAGUGGCGCAAUCAUAGCUCAUUGCAACCCCUGGGCUCAAGCAAUCCUCCCGCCCCAGCCUCCCGAGUAGCUGGGACCACAGACGCGCACCACCACACUCAGCUGAUUUUUUAAAAUUUUG